rnacentral:snRNA from 1 species
AGCUUUGCGUAGUGGCAGUAUCAUAGCCAAUGAGGUUUAUCCGAAGCACGAUUAUUGCUAAUAGA